UCGAACCUGCGGCAGGUUCGGGUCUCACGUAGUGAGACAACGGAGCCGCUUGCGGCGACGGCCCGAAGGGCGAGGCGAAGCCGAGUCAUCCUGCACGACCCACCA
rnacentral:sRNA from 1 species